UUGUUAUUUCUCAUUCUUUUAUUUCUUUUCCAAACCCGUCGCGACUCUCUGCCUUCCUCACGCGACUCUCUGCCCUCCUCGCCGUUCGAGUCUCCGCCGCCUCCUCGCCGCUUGAGUCUCUGCUUCCUCCUUGCCGCUCGACUCUCCACCUCUCUCUGCCCUCCUCACCGCUUGACUCUCCACUGCCUCCUCGUCGCUUCCUCCUCGCCGCCUCCUCCUCGUCGCUCGAGUCUCCGCCUCCUCCUUGCUGCUCGACUCUCUUCCUCCUCCUAGCCACAAAUCACCAGCUGCAGGGCAUUCCUGCGCAGGGGAACCAAAUGGUGGCCUCGUAAUUCAUGCCAUUUCACGGAAAAAGCCGUGAGGUUCCCUUGCUUCGGUGCGAGGAAUAUCGCGGAGGCGGGAAAGUUGUCUAGGGUUUCGAGUAGUCUGUCUCUCAUGGCAGCCAACAACAGAAAAGGAUAACAAUAUUUGACGCGAUGAUGUAAAAACCCAGAUUUAGCAGUAGGGUUUCAUACUCGUCUUCGCUAGGAGCUUCAUCGGUGUCGGAUAGUUUGGCGACGACUGGUGCCGAGAGCAAUGGGAGGAAGCGGAAAGCGGCUCCAAAGUGCCAAGGAAAAAUCUUGCCUUUGUUUUCCCUCAACAUGAAUCCUCCCAAGGAGGGAAUUUCUGGUACAAAGAAAUGCAAACUGCGCGAGGGCGUGAGCAGAACAUCAAUGGUAGCCGGAAACUGGGAGAAGAUGUCAAAUUGCUUGAGCCGCUAACCAUGUCAGGGCAAGAAGAGGGCAAGCCACCGACAGCCACAGCCUAGCCCAGAGGGUCAGGAGAGAAAAGAUCGGUGAGAGAAUGAAGCUUCUCCCAAAUCUUGUGCCAGGUUGCAGUAAGUGAUAGGCAAGGCUGUUAUGCUCGAUGAGAUUAUCAACUACGAGUAGUCCUUGCAGCGGCAAGUUGAGUUCUUGUCCAUGAAGCUUUCCACCUUGAAUUCCCCGCUAUUGUUUGAUAUGGAGACUCUCCUCCUGAAAGAUGUAAUUUCUUUCACUCUCUUUGCUAAAUCUUAUCAAUAAUGAGUUAGGUUGACCAUCUUGUGUCUGUUGAGAUGCAUACUAUAAGCCUAGCUUUUGUAUGAAUAUCUGUUUUGAAAUAUUUUGAAAUGAGAAUCACUUUG